UACGUAGGUGGCGAGCGUUGUCCGGAUUUACUGGGCGUAAAGGGAGCGUAGGCGGAUCCAUAAGUUUAUCGUUUAAGGCGUCGGCUUAACCGGCGUAGGGCGGUAGAUACUGUGGAUCUGGAAUGCGGUUGGGGAAGACAGAAUUCCUGGUGUAGCGGUGGAAUGCGCAGAGAUCAGGAGGAAUACUGAAGGCGAAGGCAGUCUUCCAAGCCGUUAUUGACGCUCAACUGCGAAGGUGUGGGUAUCAAACAGGAUUAGAUACCCUGGUAGUCCCU
rnacentral:rRNA from 1 species